GAUGAACGCUGGCGGCGUGCCUAAUACAUGCAAGUCGAGCGAACGGACGAGAAGCUUGCUUUUCUGAUGUUAGCGUCGGACGGGUGAGUAACACGUGGAUAACCUACCUAUAAGACUGGGAUAACUUCGGGAAACCGGAGCUAAUACCGGAUAAUAUUUUGAACCGCAUGGUUCAAAAGUGAAAGACGGUCUUGCUGUCACUUAUAGAUGGAUCCGCGCUGCAUUAGCUAGUUGGUAAGGUAACGGCUUACCAAGGCAACGAUGCAUAGCCGACCUGAGAGGGUGAUCGGCCACACUGGAACUGAGACACGGUCCAGACUCCUACGGGAGGCAGCAGUAGGGAAUCUUCCGCAAUGGGCGAAAGCCUGACGGAGCAACGCCGCGUGAGUGAUGAAGGUCUUCGGAUCGUAAAACUCUGUUAUUAGGGAAGAACAUAUGUGUAAGUAACUGUGCACAUCUUGACGGUACCUAAUCAGAAAGCCACGGCUAACUACGUG
rnacentral:rRNA from 1 species